rnacentral:lncRNA from 1 species
UGUUUUUUCUUUUUAUUGAGAAAAGAGAAUCAUCUUGUUCAGAUAACAUACAAUCGGGCAAACUUUAAACCACACGUAAUAAGACCAAUCUGGCUGCUUUCCUAGACUAUCGUUUGCUAGGAUUUUGAUAAUCAUGAAAAACAGGAAGCUUGAGUAUCCUCCAUUCCUCCAAAUUUGUUUGGAGCAUGGAAGUUUAGAAUCCUCCUAACUGGUCAAUGACGGGUGACUCCCGCCUAAUUCCCCUAGCUUUGUCCUAGGAAAGCCUAAGUUUUAGAAAUUAAUGUCUAAUAUGCAUCACAAUCUCAAGAGAUUCUUCUGAUAAUAAAUUCUUUUUGCAAAAUAUAUAUAUGUAUUUUUCUAAGGAAAGAAUCUAACUGAAUCAACGACUGCAUAAAGUUCUUUAGUAACACACAGUUGCUUUAUUGUACAUAUAUCUGAGGCCAAAAUAAGAGACAUGAAAUCAUACUGCAGAAAAAGAGGAAAAGAAACCAGUCUCCAACUGUAUGUAAACUAAGAAGAAGGUGAACACUACAUGCUAGGGACUAAUCAAUGCUAGGGACUAAUCAAUCUCAGGUCAAGCCAAUACAUUGGUAGAAAAUAGCAAGGCAAAUGGAGAAAAUUUGAACUGACCCUGGUCCUCCUCUGGCCGACCAUCCAUUGGCUGCUGCUCCAAGUGCGCGGACAUGGACAUGCAUACAGUCCUCUCCGAGUAGCCUCCACGCAUGACCUCCUAUCCCAUGCGCACAGUGAGCAGCUGCUCAUGCAGGCAUUGUUAGACUGUAUUUACAUGUGUAUAUUGUAACGUUGUAUACCACCUCAUUAUAUAUAUAUGUGAUAGGCCACCCCUAGAGGGUUGUGCCGGUUCCCCCCAAAGCCUAUUGUCUUACAUGGUAUCACGCUAGGUUACGUCCGCUUCCGCCUAAAAACCCUAAACCGCCGCCGCCGCGCCCGCCGUCGCCGUCGCCCGACUGCUAUGACGUCCGCCGCUGCGUCCGGCUCCACCGCCACCGGUUUUCUGCCGGCCUCCCUCGCGGCACUUCUCUCGAGGCCGCUGGAUGCCGCCUCCCUUCAGGCGCCGAUCGGGACACGGAGCGUCGGCUCCCUCUUCGCGCUCCCGCCGGCUGCUACUUCGCCCGGGCAGGCGCUUGUGGCCCACACCGCCGCCGCCCCGUCAACCGCGGCUGUCGCGCCCUCGGCCACUGCGCCGCUGGUGGCGGAGGACGUCGCGCUGGCAGGCUUCGCGGCGUCAACCGCGGCCAUCGCGCCCUCUGUCACCGCGCCGGCUGCCCCUCUGACUGUCUCCACGGUGGUCUCACCUCAGCCAGUCUCCUCGAUGGGAUCGCAGCCGCCGCCGCCGUUUCACUUCGGCCAUCUCAUCACCAUCAAGUUGUCGUCGGACAAUUACAUCUUCUGGCGCGCACAGGUUCUUCCGCUUCUUGGGAGUCACUAUCUGCUUGGCUAUGUCGACGGCUCUCUCCCUUGCCCUCCUGCGCUGGUUGACAGCGUGCACGGUCCGGUCUAUAAUCCGGCUCACCGUGUCUGGACAGGGCAGGAUCAGGCGAACCUCUCCUCCAUCCAGGGGUCGCUCUCUCCGGCCGUUGCUGGGCUUGUUGUCUUCGCCAAGACGUCCCACGAGGCAUGGACUAUUCUUGAGCGCUCGUUUGCGGCACAGUCGCAGGCUCGUGUAUCUAGGCUCCGUCGCCAACUUGGGGAGUGUCAGAAGCUUGACUCCACCGCCACUGAGUUCUACAACAAAGUCAAGAGUCUCGCCGACACGCUGGCCUCCAUUGGACAGCCCCUCACCGACUCCGAGUUCAACUCGUUUAUUGUCAAUGGUCUUGAUGAGGAGUAUGACGCCCUAGUCGAGAUCAUCAAUGAGAGGGGCAACUCCACGCCCAUGCCAGCACACGAGGUCUUUUCACGCCUCCUGCUUACUGAGCAACGAGUCGAGACGCGCCGAUCCAGGGGCAACGGCGCCCUCUCGGCAAACGCCGCCACCAAGGGUGGUCGCUCCUCUGCUUCAUCCAGGGCUCCUUCGGGGCAGUCACCACCACCCGCCUCGGCCCCUCCUCCUACUGCGACGCUACCAGGGGCUGGCGGUCCACGUGUGUGCCAGCUUUGUGGUCGCGAUGGGCACUGGGCCUCGAAGUGUCACAAGCGCUUCCAGCGGGGUUUUCUUGGUCUCGGCAAUGACGGGAAGGAUACAUGCAACUUUUCUCGUCAGGUCGCCAUGGCUGAUCGUCCGCCGCCGCAGAAGCCACAGGGACACACUCAGUCCUACUCCAUUGAUCCCCACUGGUACAUGGACUCUGGGGCGACAGAGCACCUGACCAGUGAGAUGGGGAAGCUUCACACUCGUGAACCCUACCAUGGCUCCGACAAGAUCCACACCGCCAAUGGAGCAGGUAUGCACAUCUCUCAUAUUGGUCAAGCAUCACUUCUCACUAGACAUGCCAAUAGGAGUCUUCAACUUCGCAAUGUUCUUCGAGUUCCAUCUGUGACACGUAAUCUUCUUUCAGUUCCUAAACUCACUCGUGAUAAUAAUGUGCUUUGUGAAUUUCAUCCUUUUGAUCUUUUUAUUAAGGAUCGGGGCACGAGGGACAUUCUUCUUAGUGGGCGGCUCUGCCAAGGUCUCUAUCGUCUGGAGCAUCCUGGCGUCGCUCGCGUCUUCAGUGGAGUUCGGGUAUCUCCGUCACAGUGGCAUGCUCGUCUUGGUCACCCGGCUACACCUAUUGUCCGGCAUGUUUUGCGUCGUCAUGAGCUUCCUAGUGUGUCUAGUAAUAAAGAUGUAGCAGUGUGUGAUGCUUGUCAGCAGGGGAAGAGUCAUCAACUUCCUUUUUCGGAGUCCAGUCGUGAGGUGAAACAUCCUUUAGAACUUGUGUUUUCAGAUGUAUGGGGUCCUGCUCAGACUUCUGUUAGUGGUCAUAAUUACUAUAUCAGUUUUGUUGAUGCUUACAGCCGCUUUACCUGGCUUUAUCUUAUCAAACGUAAAUCUGAUGUGUUUGACAUUUUUGUUCAGUUCCAAAAACAUGUUGAACGCCUUCUCAAGCACAAAAUUGUUCAUGUUCAGUCGGACUGGGGUGGCGAGUAUCGCAACCUCAACUCCUUCUUUCAGUCGCUUGGGAUCACUCACCGUUUAGCAUGUCCACAUACACAUCAGCAGAAUGGUUCAGUAGAACGUAAGCAUCGUCACAUUGUUGAAGCUGGUCUGACUCUUUUGGCCCAUGCAUCUGUUUCGUUUCGUUUUUGGAGUGAUGCUUUCAUCACUGCAUGUUUUCUCAUCAAUCGUACUCCCACUCGUGUUUUGAAUAUGAAGACUCCCAUUGAAGUUCUCCUUAAUGAACAACCGGACUACACCUUUCUCAAGGUGUUUGGGUGUGCUUGCUGGCCCCAUCUCCGUCCAUAUAACAAGCGUAAGCUCGAGUUUCGUUCCAAGAAGUGUGUUUUUCUUGGUUAUAGCUCUCUUCAUAAAGGAUACAAAUGUCUUCAUGUGCCCACUAAUCGUGUCUACAUCUCUCGGGAUGUUGUGUUUGAUGAGCAUGUUUUUCCCUUUGCCAAACUCCCUGUGUCCACUACCGAGCCACCUGUCAUGCAUUCAUCCUCUGUUGCUUCUGACCAAUUUGAUGAUGUUGCAUAUUCUCCUCUAUUGUUGCCUAACCAUGGUGCAGGCACUGGUCGUGGGGCUCGUUUGGAGAUUCUGGAAGUGCCAUCUUCCUCUUCGUCGCCAUCGCCUUCAUCCUCGGCACCUUCUGUUGUGCAUGAGGAGCACAUGGCGCCCCUGCAUGUCCUCGGUUUCCGUGCUCAUGCACGGCCGAUCGACGUCCUGGCCCGGUCGCCUCUGGCUUCUGGGCUGCCUUCGCCAUCGUCGCGCCCUGCAACCCCGCCGACUGGGCCGGCCUCCUCGGUCCCCGUCUCGCCCAGGGCGUCGGGGCAGUCAUCACCAGGCCUGGCCUCGCCCGCCCCUGCCUCGCCCAGGGUGUCUGGGCCCUUCUCAUCAGGGCCGGCCUCGCCUGCUCUCGCCUCGCCAAGGCCGUCUGGGCCGGUGUCACCGGAGCUGGCCUCGCCCACUCUCGGUUCGCCCAUGGCCUCUGAGCCCCUGUCGUCGGGCCAGUCUUCGCCAUGCAGCCCGGAGUCGUCUGUCCCGAGCUCGCCUGAGGUGAUUCCUGCAUCUCCGGCGACCGUCACGUCUCCGUCACCUUCGCCUCCGCCGGCUCCUGCUGCUGCUCUACGUCCACAUACGCGCAGUCGGAGUGGCAUUUUUCAGCCUAAGCAACGUCAUGAUGGCACAGUUGCUUGGUUAGCGGCGUGCAUGUCUGCUGCUCUCGCAGAUCCAUCCUCUGAGCCACGCACGUAUCAAGCUGCUAUGCGCAUUCCUCAUUGGAGAGAGGCCAUGGAGCAGGAGUAUCAAGCGCUUCUUCGCAAUCAGACAUGGACUCUUGUUCCUCCACAAUCACGGGUAAAUGUCAUUGAUUCCAAAUGGGUUUUCAAAGUGAAGAGGCAUUCUGAUGGGUCCAUUAAGCGCUAUAAGGCUCGUCUGGUUGCUCGUGGUUUUCGACAGCGUUUUGGACUUGACUAUGAAGACACCUUCAGUCCAGUGGUCAAGCCUACUACCAUCAGACUUCUUCUCUCUCUGGCUGUUACUCGAGGUUGGUUUCUUCGUCAGCUUGAUGUUCAAAAUGCUUUUCUUCAUGGUGUCUUGGCGGAGGAGGUUUACAUGCGCCAGCCUCCGGGUUUCUCUGAUCCGGAUCGCCCUGAUCAUCUCUGUCGUCUGUCCAAAGCAAUUUAUGGUCUGAAGCAGGCUCCUCGUGCUUGGCAUGCUCGUCUUGCAAUGGCUCUUCGUGCUCAUGGUUUUGCAUCAUCAACUGCUGACUCCUCAUUGUUUCUUCUUCAAAGGCCUGAGGUUACUAUGUACUUGUUGGUCUAUGUAGAUGAUAUCAUUUUGGUCAGCUCCUCUCAGUCGGCUGCUACUACGCUUGUUCGCUCACUUGGUGCUGAUUUUGCGGUCAAGGACCUUGGGAAGCUUCAUUACUUUCUUGGUGUGGAGGUUACUUCUCGUGCUGCUGGCCUUGUUAUGACGCAGAAGAAGUACUCUCUGGAUUUGUUGCAGCGACCUGGGAUGCUUAAGUGCAAACCGACGACUACACCCAUGUCUACCACUGAUAAGCUCAAUGCUGUUGAUGGUGUGCUUCUUUCUUCUUCUGAUGCGACAGAGUACAUGAGUAUUGUUGGUGGGCUCCAGUACUUGACGAUCACGCGACCAGACAUUUCCUAUGCUGUUAACCGAGUCUGCCAGUAUCUGCAGUCACCCCGUGACACUCAUUGGUCUGCUGUUAAGCGGAUUUUGCGCUAUAUUCGUUUCACGGUGGCUCAUGGUUUGCAUAUUCGGCCGUCUGACUCUGGUUGUCUUUCAGCAUAUCCUGAUGCAGACUGGGCUGGCAAUCCGGAUGACAGGCGAUCCACGGGGGGUUAUGCUGUCUUCUUUGGCUCUAACCUGAUUGCCUGGAGUGCUCGGAAACAGGCUACUGUCUCGCGUAGCAGUACUGAGGCUGAGUAUAAGGCUGUGGCCAAUGCCACAUCAGAGAUCAUCUGGGUACAGUCCUUGCUUCAGGAGUUAAGUAUACCCCAAUCACAGCCUCCUGUUCUUUGGUGUGAUAACAUCGGUGCUACAUACCUUUCUGCAAAUCCGGUAUUCCAUGCCCGAACGAAACACAUUGAAGUUGACUAUCACUUUGUGCGUGAACGUGUCUCUCAGAAGCAACUACAGAUCAAGUUUAUUUCUUCCAAGGAUCAACUUGCUGACAUCUUCACCAAGCCAUUGCUUUUGCCACAGUUUGAGACUUGCAGGCGCAAUCUUACCCUUCUAGAUUCAUUAGAAAGUGGCUAAGAUUGAGGGAGGGUGUUAGACUGUAUUUACAUGUGUAUAUUGUAACGUUGUAUACCACCUCAUUAUAUAUAUAUGUGAUAGGCCACCCCUAGAGGGUUGUGCCGGUUCCCCCCAAAGCCUAUUGUCUUACAGGCAUCGGUAAUCAAAAUUACGUUAAAUGACUCUUCUUCUCCCCCCCCCCCAUCCAUCUUACCAAUUCAAGCUUGCCGCUGCAGGCAAUGGCAUAUCUAAUAGCAAUAUGCCAUAUGAACACCAUUGAAUAACUGAAAGCAAUAGUCUUGGGUCACCUUACCUGGCACCUAGCGUCNNNNNNNNNNAAAUCAUACUGCAGAAAAAGAGGAAAAGAAACCAGUCUCCAACUGUAUGUAAACUAAGAAGAAGGUGAACACUACAUGCUAGGGACUAAUCAAUCUCAGGUCAAGCCAAUACAUUGGUAGAAAAUAGCAAGGCAAAUGGAGAAAAUUUGAACUGACCCUGGUCCUCCUCUGGCCGACCAUCCAUUGGCUGCUGCUCCAAGUGCGCGGACACGGACAUGCAUACAGUCCUCUCCGAGUAGCCUCCACGCAUGACCUCCUAUCCCAUGCGCACAGUGAGCAGCUGCUCAUGCAGGCAUCGGUAAUCAAAAUUACGUUAAAU